rnacentral:misc_RNA from 1 species
GAUGAAGAACGUAGCAAAAUGCGAUAAGUAAUGUGAAUUGCAGAAUUCAGUGAAUCUUCGAAUCUUUGAACGCACAUUGCGCCCGCCAGUAUUCUGGCGGGCAUGCCUGUUCGAGCGUCAUUUCAACCCUCAAGCACAGCUUGGUGUUGGGACUCGCGUUAAUUCGCGUUCCCCAAAUUGAUUGGCGGUCACGUCGAGCUUCCAUAGCGUAGUAGUAAAACCCUCGUUACUGGUAAUCGUCGCGGCCACGCCGUUAAACCCCAACUUCUGAAUGUUGACCUCGGAUCAGGUAGGAAUACCCGCUGAACUUAAGCAUAUCAAUAAGCGGAGGA